CUUUUCUUUAUCGCCAGGAGUCCCCGCUGGAUUUCGUUAGUUUUGGUAGCAGUAGUUUUAGCGGUUCUUCCCAAACCCUAAUUCCCACACGAAGCUGGCGAAUUCGCAAGAGAAAUGGACGAUGACCGGAAUGCGAAUCCCACUCUGCCUUCCGAAUCCAAUCCCGUCAAGGCCCCGCUUCUUUCGGUUCUCGGCGACGCCAGCUUGAUCGACAGGACCGAAUUUAUCAGGGUCAUCGUGCAAUCCCUCUACUCCCUCGGCUACCACAGGGCAGCCGCGAUGCUGGAGUCUGAGUCCGGUAUCUCGCUCGAGUCGCAUGAGUACACCGAGUUGCUCUUCAGCGUGUUGGCGGGGCGGUGGGACGACUGCAUUGCCACCAUUGAGUCCAUUCGCGAUUUGGAGAGCAGCGCCAAAAAUACGGCAGCGUUUCUUGUGUGGAAAGAACAUUUUUUGGAGCUGCUGGGGUUGAAUGAUGGGUUUUUGAUGGCUAAGGACGUGCUAUGGCAGCGAAUUGCCCGGCUGGAUAUGGACCGACAGAGAGUUCAUGGGCUCGCCAGGGAGCUCAUUUCGUCGGAGGGAAUUAUUGAGGUAAAGGAUCGAAUCCGCAGGAGAUUGGCGUUGCUUCUUGAUUUGUUUGAGGUGCUGCCCCCUUGGGUGCGAGUGCCGAGCGGUCGGUUGGAACGCCUUGUGGAAAUGGCAGUUCUCAGGCAGAUCGCGUCGUGCAUUUACCACAACUCACCUGGCGAGGUCACGCUCUAUGAAGAUCACGAAUGCAGCCAAGAACAGAUCCCUUCCAAGUGCAGCCAGAUACUAUAUGAUCACAAAAAUGAAGUUUGGUUUGUUCAGUUCUCAAAUAACGGGGAUUACCUGGCUUCAUCUUCAAGUGAUUGCACUGCCAUCAUAUGGACGGUGAACAUGGACUACAGUUUGUCUUUAAGGCGCAUUCUGGAGGGUCACAUGAAAGCUAUAUCUUAUUUAACAUGGAGCCCAGAUGAUAAAAUGCUUCUUACUUGUGGUAAUGCAGAAGUCCUUAAGUUAUGGGAUGUAUGUAAUGGCUUAUGUAAAUUCACAAUUACUGGUGGAGUAAAUCGAAUUAUCAGCUCAUGCGCAUGGUUUCCAGACUCUCAGAAGAUAGUCUGUGGCAGCUGGGAUCCUGAUAACCGAAUCUUUACAUGUGAUCUAGAGGGAAAUAUACUGGAUGUUUGGGAAGGAGAGAGGAUGCCUAAAGUUACUGAUCUUUCUGUGACACCUGAUGGACAAUGUAUAAUCAGUAUAUGCUCAAGUAAAGAAAUUCUUGUACGUGAUUUCCAUAGAGGAAGUGAAUGGGUCAUACAUGAGGAGCAUUCUAUUACUUCACUCUCACUUUCAAGGGAUGGCCAAUUUAUAAUUGUCAACUUGAAAAAUGAAGAGAUCCACUUGUGGAAUCUUAAUGCGACCUCAAGUUCGCCACAUAAGUUUAGGGGUCACAAAGAAGGAGAGUAUGUAAUUCGUUCAUGUUUUGGUGGGUCAGAUUCUUUAUUUAUUGCCAGUGGUAGUGAGGAUUCUCAGAUUCUCGAAAAUUACUCCCGGUAUUCGUGCGUUAAUCAACGGAUAUAAUAACUUUCGCUACAUUAGUUAGUAGCAGAGCAAGGUUGAUCUUGUGGAAUCAUGUCACUGAGAAGACAACAUGUCAACAACGCUUUUGAUCAUGAUAUGGAGCAAUGGUUAUAAGAGAUGGUUGAUAGACGGGUUGACCUGGUUGUGGGGAGGAUGACAGUGAUGUUGGGAACCUUGAAUAGAGGAAGCCUUGUUCAAUGCAAUAACAAUCACUGAACAAACUCAGAGGAGGAAGAAAACAUUUUUGACGAGGAGGCUUCAUGUAGGCAUCACAGAGCAUCUGAUAAAUUUGCUCGCGACUUGGAACUCCGACUGCAAGAUAAGUUCGUCCCCAUGUCCGCCUCCAAAAUGAGGUGAUAGGACUACGAGGAGGAUCCUACUCUGCGGGAUCCGCCCGGAGCACGACAAGGUCUGGACGGAAUCCAACCUUGGCAAACGACCCCUUUGUCAGCGACAAUGAAGCUCCGAUGAUUGUCUUCGUUGAUGUCUUGGGAUCGUUGAAUUCAUCUUGUCGUGGUCGCUUUGCUACUUCAUCGCUGACAUCCUUGGACGCUAUAUUUGAUGGUCUCGCGGAUUCCACAACAAAGACAACGUUGGCUGUUCCUGUGUAUGAUAAGUCGAUAUAUGAUGACAAUAUAUCUGAUGGGGCUUCAGGCCUGAAGCACUCAUCAUUGGCGAAGUAUGAGGAUGUUUUUUUUUUUGCCAUUCUGUCAGGAUCUGGUCAUGUUUCGACACCUUCAUUUGUGGAUCUUCUUCAAAAACUUUUAGAAACAAAUGCCAGAGUCCAAGGGCAGGAGUGAUGGGAGAUCUUUGGAGGAGGAACAAAAUAUCUCAUAGUUUGAUGAGCUGAUUUCAGGAUUCGAUAGGAAAACUACAGCCACAGACAAUGACCUUGCCUGGAGGGGGCUGCUAAGGAAGCAGUCAUCAAGGCUUAUAGCAAGGAAGAGAUAAUUGCAGGAGAUUUAUUAAACAUGAUCAACAACCCCUCAGGCUCUGAGCUGCAUAUGACCUAAAGGUUAAUGGAAGGGGGAAAACAGUUGUUAGUGGAGCAGGUUGGCCCUAUCAUCCUAUCAGAAGAGACCACAAGAGAGAUCGUUCUAACAUGGGCUAGAGCAACAAAGAAGACACUCAUUGCAUUUACUCUCAAAGCAUUCUCAUCAGCAUUGUUAGCCAAUCCUGGGAUGAAUGCUGCAGACCUCGAAUAUGUGUUAUUGGGAUGGAAUCUGAGAGGAGAUCACAUCAUGGAGGUCAAGAAUGUCAUGGAUGCUCACCAGGAGCUUCUGAACACAGUGUUGGUAUCACAGCGUGCGUGACUUCAAAAGCACAGCAAUAGGACUCCUCAAUGGUUUUCAAGAUGCUAUUAACAAGAUUGUUAUCUCUGCUGACAAAAUGAUCCAACAGAGACCUCCACCAACUACCACUAUCGUUCAACCCCCUGCCAGGAUUCAACAACAGGUAUUGAAUAUUUAUGAUGACAAAGGCAAAGCUCCUGCUGUUGUGAAUUCAACUGGAGGUGUGGUAGCCAAAGAUUUGGACACACUCCUCAAGUUGCUAAAAAGGACAAGGGGUGAUUUUGAACAGUUUAAUGACUUGCAGAGUGCUAUUGGUAGACGUGGCCCUAAAACAGACACGCAUGAAAGAAAUACUAUAAGAGUUCUUACUAAUGCAUGCUUGUACACUCCUUUGUCCGAUCUUGAAGUUCCUUGGUUAGACGUCAGCUCUAGUUAUGAUGGAUUUGGUGGAACCAGUAACUUCCAUUGCAUUAAUUGGUAUUCUUCUCGAAGAGUUACUAGAUAAAUUGCCUCCCUUACGUAAUAUCCAACAUCAUAUUGAUUUGGAGCCGGGAGUGACAUUGACGAACAGAUCGCAUUAAAGAAUGAGCACGUGUGAGCACGAGGAAUUGUUGAUACAAUUGAUUCUUUUCCAUGGUGAUUCUUCUGAUGAUGAUGCAACCAACAAUUCAAGGGCGAAUUUUCUCUUCUCUGAGAAGAUGAUGCGGGAUGAUAAGCAAACUUGCAGAACCCAUAAUUUAUGACUUGGGAUGAACCACGGGGCGGUUUACCAGCCAAAUCGAAAUCUAUAUUUGGCAGAGGCACAAAGAAAUGCCAAUAAAAAUCCUAAGUGGCCACUCGAUGACAGUAAAUUGCGUGAGCUGGAACCCCACCAGACCUAAUUUGCUAGCAUCAGCAAGCGAUGACCGAACAGUUCGCAUAU